rnacentral:rRNA from 1 species
UACGAAGGGUGCUAGCGUUGCUCGGAAUCACUGGGCGUAAAGCGCACGUAGGCGGUUUGUUAAGUCAGGGGUGAAAUCCUGGAGCUCAACUCCAGAACUGCCUUUGAUACUGGCGAUCUUGAGUCCGGGAGAGGUGAGUGGAACUGCGAGUGUAGAGGUGAAAUUCGUAGAUAUUCGCAAGAACACCAGUGGCGAAGGCGGCUCACUGGCCCGGUACUGACGCUGAGGUGCGAAAGCGUGGGGAGCAAACAGG